CACAGAGUUAGCCGGUGCUUAUUCUGCGAGUAACGUCCACUAUCCAAGAGUAUUAAUCUCAGUAGCCUCCUCCUCGCUUAAAGUGCUUUACAACCAAAAGGCCUUCUUCACACACGCGGCAUGGCUGGAUCAGGCUUUCGCCCAUUGUCCAAUAUUCCCCAUGCUGCCUCCCGUAGGAGUCUGGGCCGUGUCUCAGUCCCAGUGUGGCGGAUCAUCCUCUCACGACCCGCUACAGAUCGUCGCCUUGGUAGGCCUUUACCCCACCGAACUAGCUAAUCUGACUUAGGCUCAUCUAUUAGCGUACAAGGUCCGAAGACUCCCCUGUCCUUUCCCCCGUAGGGCGUAUGCGGUAUAGCAUUCCUUCGGAAUGUUCGUCCCCAUAAU
rnacentral:rRNA from 1 species